rnacentral:snoRNA from 4 species
UGGUCAUUACCAAGGCUGCUAGGAUAUUACUGUUUCUGGUGAGCUGUGGACAUGACCAUAAAGUAAGGCCAUCAGACUCUUGACUUGCCACAUUGUGUGGCACUAGGUCUGCUGGGAAUAAAG